UGGCGGGGGCUCUGCUCGGCCCCGGGGACCCGGGGAUCCACUCGCGACCCCCGGGCCUGCGCCAGGUGCAGCGGCCCCGGCCUCGCCGAGCCCGCUGCUCCAGCCGCGCGCACCUGGAUGGGGGCUCUGGGCGCCGGUGCGGGGCGGGGGGAGCCGACGCAGGGUCUCCGGGGACAUGGCGACCGCGGCGCCUGUCCCCGCCCCCGCGCGCCCCCUGGCGGCCCCGUGCCAGUUCCACCGCCGGGCAUGCGGGCCCAGGUACCCGGGCCAGCGGGCGGCGACCUAGGGCAAGGAGAUCCCAGGCAGGGGGCGGAGUAGGUCCACCUGCGUUACCUCAAGGGAAGGCGCUGGAGGUGAGAGGGUUCAUGCGCGCGGGGGACAAAGGCGGUGCUCCUGCGCUCUGCCCCCAGGCCGCUUCCAAAGAAUUUUAAACCGACCCCUAGUCCUGAAGGAAGACGGCGGGGCGGGGGGGUCUCUACAGAGAAGCGACCCCACCAGGACGCGAAGAACCCUUUCCCCAACCCCACAUCCUCAGCCUCUAUGCGCCCGGGACUGCGCGGACCCGCUGACUCCUGGAAUCCAGACGCACCCAAAACGCAGCCGGUGAGGCCACCUCCUGUCCUUCCCGGCCGCAUGGGGUGCCCCCGCCACCCCCGCCCCGCACGCGAAGCUCACCGAGCCCCCCGCCGCCGCCUCACCUGGCUCGGGGCGCAGCUCAGAGAGUCCGGGCCGGUCAGAGCCGCCAGGGAAGGGCUGGCGUCCGCGUGCACCUGGCUCGACCGGGGGGACCCGAGCGACGCCGCGCCCAGCCCGGCCGAAGCGCGGGAGCCGCCGCCGCCGCCGCUCAGGAUUCGGAGAUACAGAGGCCGAUUGCCCAUCUGAAGGUUUGCAGAGCAGAUGAAAACUUUGUGCCUCGGUAUUGCGCCGCCAUCAGCCUCCCGGGCCACCUUGCACCUGGAUGGGCGCUUCGUCCAGGGCGUGCAGACGCGUGUCUCGGCCAGCGGCCCUCCCAGCCGGGAAAAGCUUUAGCGAGUGGAGGAAUUAAAACCAACCGCUCAGGUGAAAACUGAAGUCGAAAAGGCACCCUCUGGAGACGCCCGGAAAUCCUGUUGUUAUCCAGGACUCCGGGAUCGCUAGGUUUGCCAAAACCCAAAGCGGGGCGGGGUGUCCUGAGCCUCAGGCCCCCAGCACCGAGCUGGGACGGUGGCUUUACGCCUCCCAACCUGAGGUUCGAGCAAUCGGCUAACAACUUUUCCGAAGACCCUGAUAAUUCACUGGUCACUCCACCCUGAGUAAGCUAGGGACGUUUCUGAGUCCUGGGAUUUCCAGUAUUCUGCAAAGGGGGAGCACUUCCUGCCGCCAAGAUGUGCAAGUCUGAAGGGGUGUUGGAGGGGUUGGCAAACACCAGCGUCCAGGCUGUGAUGUAGAACAGUGUGCUUCCGGAAUAGCAAGCCUUCCACUAUGCAAAACCUCAAUCCAUGUCUCCCCGUGAAGAAUAUAUAUAUAUAUUUAUUUAUUUAUUUUUUAAAGUCAGUUUUAUAGGACAUGCCUGAGAGAUUUGCAUGGGCCGGUGACUUCAACAUACCAAAGGCAAAGUUAAAUAUUGGCUCUAGGUACUUUUUUUUUUUCUCCUGCUUGCAUAAUUGUCCCACGUUUCAAAGAAGUCUUUAAAAGCACUUAGAUUUAAAAAAAAAAAAAAAAAAGAAAAGAAAAGAAAAAAAUGUUGUGUUUGGGGCCUAGUAUUUCAGGACACACAUGGGGUAAAAUACCGUAACUCCUUUAGGACGGCUGCCAGAUGCAAACUCCUUUCUCUCCUCUGCUCCCUUAAGCAUGAGAUUUAAUAAAAUAUUUGUUGAAUGAAUAAA